rnacentral:rRNA from 1 species
ACGCUGGCGGCGGGCCUAACACAUGCAAGUCGAACGAACUCGACCUUCGGGUCAUAUAGUGAGUGGCGAACGGGUGAGUAACACGUGAGAAACCUGCCCCGAAGACUGGAACAACCCGAGGAAACUCGGGCUAAUACCGGAUACCCCCAUCGGAUCGCAUGGUCUGAUGAGGAAAUGCUCCGGCGCUUCGGGAGGGUCUCGCGGCCUAUCAGCUAGUUGGUGAGGUAACGGCUCACCAAGGCAACGACGGGUAGCUGGUCUGAGAGGAC